CACGGGGAGGUAGUGACGAAAAAUAACGAUACGGGACUCAUCCGAGGCCCCGUAAUCGGAAUGAGUACACUCUAAAGCCUUUGGCAAAAAUCAAUUGGAGGGCCAGUCUGGUGCCAGCAGCCGCGGUAAUUCCAGCUCCAAUAGCGUAUAUUAAAGUUGUUGCGGUUAAAAAGCUCGUAGUCGAAUCUGUGUCUCGCGCCGCUGGUUCACAGUCCGCUGUGUCCAACUGGCGUGCCGCGAGACGUCCUGUCGGUGGGCUCUUGAAAGUUCGCUUGCGUUCGAUCUUGGCCCUACUCGUGCGCGCUUUGCGUGUGCGAAUCCCAUCGCGGUGCUCUUUAUUGAGUGUCGAGGUGGGCCGGCACGUUUACUUUGAACAAAUUAGAGUGCUUAAAGCAGGCCAAUUUUGCCUGAAUAUUGUGUGCAUGGAAUAAUGGAAUAGGACCUCGGUUCUAUUUUGUUGGUUUUCUGAACCCCGAGGUAAUGAUUAAUAGGAACGGAUGGGGGCAUUCGUAUUGCGACGUUAGAGGUGAAAUUCUUGGAUCGUCGCAAGACGGACAGAAGCGAAAGCAUUUGCCAAAAACGUUUUCAUUGAUCAAGAACGAAAGUUAGAGGUUCGAAGGCGAUCAGAUACCGCCCUAGUUCUAACCAUAAACGAUGCCAGCUAGCGAUCCGCCGAAGUUCCUCCGAUGACUCGGCGGGCAGCUUCCGGGAAACCAAAGCUUUUGGGUUCCGGGGGAAGUAUGGUUGCAAAGCUGAAACUUAAAGGAAUUGACGGAAGGGCACCACCAGAAGUGGAGCCUGCGGCUUAAUUUGACUCAACACGGGGAAUCUCAU
rnacentral:rRNA from 1 species